AAGAAGGCCUUCGGGUUGUAAAGCACUUUUGUCCGGAAAGAAAUCCUUUGAGCUAAUACCUCGGGGGGAUGACGGUACCGGAAGAAUAAGCACCGGCUAACUACGUGC
rnacentral:rRNA from 1 species